rnacentral:misc_RNA from 1 species
GAUGAAGAACGUAGCGAAAUGCGAUACGUAAUGUGAAUUGCAGUAUUCAGUGAAUCAUCGAGUCUUUGAACGCACAUUGCGCCCCCUGGUAUUCCGGGGGGCAUGCCUGUCCGAGCGUCAUUGCUGCCCUCAAGCACGGCUUGUGUGUUGGGCCUCCGUCCUCCUCCCGGGGGACGGGCCCGAAAGGCAGCGGCGGCACCGCGUCCGGUCCUCGAGCGUAUGGGGCUUCGUCACCCGCUCUUGUAGGCCCGGCCGGCGCUUGCCGACACAUCAAUCUUUUUUCCAGGUUGACCUCGGAUCAGGUAGGGAUACCCGCUGAACUUAAGCAUAUCAAUAAGCGGAGGA